AUGGCAGCCGUGGCAGAGAGUUUCAGCGAGAAGAGAUGGUGUCUCAAGGGCCUCACCGCUCUCGUCACUGGCGGAACCAAAGGAAUUGGAUUUGCUAUAGUAGAGGAGCUAGCAGGACUUGGGGCAGCGGUUCACACCUGUUCUCGUACGGAAACGGAGUUGAAUGAGAGAGUUCAAGAAUGGAAGAGCAAAGGUUAUGAGGUUACUGGUUCGGUUUGUGACCUAACUGUUAGAGCCCAAAGGGAAGACCUCAUUAACACCGUCUCUUCAAUUUUUGAUGGCAAGCUCAGCAUACUAAUUGUACAACAAAGAUAAGGGGUUUAAGAACUUACUUGAGUUGUAGAUUGCAAAGGAGUCGCGGACGUUGUUGCUCGGGGCUGGUCAAACGCGUCUCGAAUCGGCGAGGGUUUCUGGGCUUCUCUUGAGAGUUGUUCUUCUGAGUUCUUGAGGAGAGAUAAGGGCUUGGUAAAAAAUGAAAAGAGGGAAAAAUGACCUUUUAUAGUGUUCGUGGCACAGAUAAAGAGGUAAUGAUGGGGGUAAGUUUUUGAUGCUUGGGAAAUCGUGUUAGCCGUCGAAAUAUUUUUGGGAAACUGUAACGAUCAUGAUUGUUUACUUUUUCAAAAAGGUGCUGACAGACGUGACAGGUCAGACGGAAAACUAGUCGCCUAAGUUUAUUAUAUGCUGGUCGCAGUAAAAUAAAAUUGGGGGGAAAAUGUUUACCCAAAAAAAGAUUUGCACAAUGAUGUGGCAAAAUUAACAUGCACGUGGGAUACACGUGACUGUUUAAGUGAGUACGUUCUGUUCGAUCGUCGACCAGAGGAGAAUUCACUUAGCAGAAGGCAUAUUUUAUGGGCGACCAGUCUAGUUACAAUUUUUCAGAAAUCUUCUAUAGAUAUGUAAUCUUGUAUUUAUGUAAUAAGUGUGAUUUCCAUUAUUCUUGGGAUACGCAUGUAUUGAAUGUAAUUAAGGCCCAUUGGCCCAUGAGGAACUCCUUGAGCCUAUAAAUAAGACUCGAAGGGCUCAAAAGAUGGGACUUUUGGAUCUUUAUAGAGAAUUAUAGAGUUUUUAUCUGCCAAAUUUGUAUUCAUCUCCAAGCUUGUGAAACUCACGAACCCUAGUUCACUGAUCACAGUUUUUGGAGUUCUACAUUAAUAAGAACAAUAAGUGGACGUAGGUUAUUACCAUCUUUGAGGCUGAACCACUAUAAAUAUUUGUGUCAUUUAUCUUUAUGGUUUGAUUUCAUCUCAUUCUUAUUGUUUUACUUGACUCCGUGUCGUCGAAAAAAUCGAGGGUCAACAUGGCUAAUGAGUUGUAUAUAUGUGAUGUACUCAUUGAGGGGGUCGUUUUGAUAUAUGUCAUGCAUAUAUUCGUCGACAUUUUCGGUACACCACUCAUUGUCGCCACCAACUACUACUGUGCACCGCUUGGGAAAAACAUGAUAUUGAAAUUGGAAUAAAUCACUCUAGGAUCAUUGUUAAGCUUGAG